AUUGAACGCUGGCGGCAGGCCUAACACAUGCAAGUCGAACGAGUGGCGGACGGGUGAGUAAUGUCUGGGAAACUGCCUGAUGGAGGGGGAUAACUACUGGAAACGGUAGCUAAUACCGCAUACCAUCGGAUGUGCCCAGAUGGGAUUAGCUAGUAGGUGGGGUAACGGCUCACCUAGGCGACGAUCCCUAGCUGGUCUGAGAGGAUGAACAGAAACAAGGGAACAGAGACACGGUCCAGAAUGAUAAGGGAGGCAGCAGUGGGGAAUAUUGCACAAUGGGCGCAAGCGUGAUGCAGCAAUGCCGCGUGUAUGAAGAAGGCCUUCGGGUUGAAAAGUACUUUCAGCGGGGAGGCGUUACCCGCAGAAGAAGCACCGGCUAACUCCGUGCCAGAAGCCGCGGUAAUUC
rnacentral:rRNA from 1 species